AGUGAACGCUGGCGGUAGGCCUAACACAUGCAAGUCGAACGGCAGCACAGGAGUGCUUGCUCUCUGGGUGGCGAGUGGCGGACGGGUGAGGAAUACAUCGGAAUCUACUCUGUCGUGGGGGAUAACGUAGGGAAACUUACGCUAAUACCGCAUACGACCUACGGGUGAAAGCAGGGGACCUUCGGGCCUUGCGCGAUUGAAUGAGCCGAUGUCGGAUUAGCUAGUUGGCGGGGUAAAGGCCCACCAAGGCGACGAUCCGUAGCUGGUCUGAGAGGAUGAUCAGCCAGACUGGAACGGAGACACGGUCCAGACGCCUACGGGAGGCAGCAGUGGGGAAUAUUGGACAAUGGGCGCAAGCCUGAUCCAGCCAUACCGCGUGGGUGAAGAAGGCCUUCGGGUUGUAAAGCCCUUUUGUUGGGAAAGAAAUCCAGCUGGCUAAUACCCGGUUGGGAUGACGGUACCCAAAGAAUAAGCACCGGCUAACUUCGUGCCAGCCGCCGCGGUAA
rnacentral:rRNA from 1 species